AAUCCAUUAUGUGGGCAGUCACACACUAAUUUCUUGAAUCUCGCCCACGCGUCACUGAACGAUUCAAUUUCUUUUUGUUCAAAAUUGAUGAUCAAUUUCCUCCUUCU